UACGUAGGGUGCAAGCGUUGUCCGGAAUUAUUGGGCGAAAGGGCUCGUAGGCGGCGUGUCGCGUCGGGAGUGAAAGCCCGCUGCUUAACGGCGGGUUGGCUUCCGGUACGGGCAUCGCUGGAGUGCGGCAGGGGAGACUGGAAUUCCUGGUGUAGCGGUGGAAUGCGCAGAUAUCAGGAGGAACACCGGUGGCGAAGGCGGGUCUCUGGGCCGUUAUUGACGCUGGAGGAGCGAAAGCGUGGGGAGCGAACAGG
rnacentral:rRNA from 1 species